GACGAACGCUGGCGGCGUGCUUAACACAUGCAAGUCGAACGAUGACGACCGAGCUUGCUCGGUCUGAUUAGUGGCGAACGGGUGAGUAACACGUGAGCAACCUGCCCUUCACUCUGGGAUAACCUCGGGAAAUCGGGGCUAAUACCGGAUAUGAGCUCCUGUCGCAUGGCGGGUGUUGGAAAGUUUUUCGGUGAAGGAUGGGCUCGCGGCCUAUCAGUUUGUUGGUGAGGUAGUGGCUCACCAAGGCGAUGACGGGUAGCCGGCCUGAGAGGGCGACCGGCCACACUGGGACUGAGACACGGCCCAGACUCCUACGGGAGGCAGCAGUGGGGAAUAUUGCACAAUGGGCGAAAGCCUGAUGCAGUGACGCCGCGUGAGGGAUGACGGCCUUCGGGUUGUAAACCUCUUUCAGCAGGGAAGAAGCGAAAGUGACGGUACCUGCAGAAGAAGCGCCGGCUAACUACGUG
rnacentral:rRNA from 1 species